rnacentral:rRNA from 1 species
AUUGAACGCUAGCGGGAUGCUUUACACAUGUAAGUCGAAAGAGUGGCGGACGGGUGAGUAAUAUAUCGGAACGUUCCCAGUAGCGGGGGAUCACUAAUAGAAAGAGUGGCUAAUACCGCAUACUCUUGGAGCGACCGAAGUAGAAUUAGCUAGUUGGUGGGGAAAAGGCUCACCAAGGCAACGAUCCGUAGCUGGUUUGAGAGGACGACCAGCCACACUGGGACGUAGACACGGCCCAGACUCCUACGGGAGGCAGCAGUGGGGAAUUUUGGACAAUGGGGGAAACCCUGAUCCAGCCAUCCCGCGUGUAUGAGAAGGCCUUCGGUUUGUAAAGUACUUUUGGCAGAGAAGCGGUAUCUGCAGAAUAAGCACCGGCUAACUACGUGCCAGCAGCCGCGGUAAUAC